GGUAAAAGCCUAAAUGUCUAAGUGUCUGAGUAUGUUCAGUGUAAUAUUUGGUGUUUUCUCCCCACAGCAGCUGUGAAUACAUUUCUUGUUUGUGGCCAUGACUUCUAUAUUCAAGUACUUCCAAAGAUCCUCCCAGUUGCUGAGGACCAUUCUGCACUCCUGCAUUAAUAGCCCUCAGGCUGACCUGGGUCUGUGGCUGGUGGGCAGGCCAGUCCAAAGGAGACUUUGAUGAGCACGGGCUUCCAGGAGGACUGAGCCGCCUUGCUGCUGUAAGUUCAAAUGGUAAAUUAACCUCUUGUUAGCUCAGGAAUGUUCUCUCAUGGGCCCUUUGGAACCCAUUUCUUUGAAAUGUAAUCCCAUCUCUUGGUUUUCUGGGACAAGAUGGGCCUA
rnacentral:lncRNA from 1 species